rnacentral:rRNA from 1 species
UACGAGGGGGGCUAGCGUUGCUCGGAAUUACUGGGCGUAAAGCGUGCGCAGGCGGUUCGUUGUGUCGGUGGUGAAAGCCCCGGGCUUAACCUGGGAAUGGCCAUGGAAACUGGCGAACUGGAGUACGGUAGAGGGGGAUGGAAUUCCGCGUGUAGCAGUGAAAUGCGUAGAUAUGCGGAGGAACACCGAUGGCGAAGGCAAUCCCCUGGACCUGUACUGACGCUCAUGCACGAAAGCGUGGGGAGCAAACAGG